UAGGGGAGCCGGAGGGAAACCGAGUCUUAAUUGGGCGUUAAGUUGCAGGGUAUAGACCCGAAACCCGGUGAUCUAGCCAUGGGCAGGUUGAAGGUUGGGUAACACUAACUGGAGGACCGAACCGACUAAUGUUGAAAAAUUAGCGGAUGACCUGUGGCUGGGGGUGAAAGGCCAAUCAAACCGGGAGAUAGCUGGUUCUCCCCGAAAGCUAUUUAGGUAGCGCCUCGUGAAUUCAUCUCCGGGGGUAGAGCACUGUUUCGGCUAGGGGGCCAUCCCGGCUUACCAACCCGAUGCAAACUGCGAAUACCGGAGAAUGUUAUCACGGGAGACACACGGCGGGUGCUAACGUCCGUCGUGAAGAGGGAAACAACCCAGACCGCCAGCUAAGGUCCCAAAGUCAUGGUUAAGUGGGAAACGAUGUGGGAAGGCCCAGACAGCCAGGAUGUUGGCUUAGAAGCAGCCAUCAUUUAAAGAAAGCGUAAUAGCUCACUGGUCGAGUCGGCCUGCGCGGAAGAUGUAACGGGGCUAAACCAUGCACCGAAGCUGCGGCAGCGAA
rnacentral:rRNA from 3 species